UAUCCACAUCCGCAACUCCCACAUCCCCUUCCCACCAAACCGAGCACCACCAUGCCACUGCCGCUGCCCGCCGUGGGCACGGGCACCGCGUCGGCGAUAGCUCCGGUCACCGCCGCCGCGGCAGCAGCGCCCCUUAGAUAUCGUCCCAUACGACUCCGCGCAUCUCCCUCGACGGUUUCCUCUCCUUCAACCUCUGCGAUCUCCAGCUCACCGCCCCCGCCGUCUGCGAGGCAUUCCCGCAAACACUUGGCGGGCAGAGGCGACGCCCCGGCGAGGCCCUCAAAGGGCCGGGUGUUCUUCCUCGACGUCAACCCGAUAUGCUUCCGCGGCUCCCAGCGCAGCCUCAGUGCCUUCGCGCGCUGGCUCGCGCUCUUCUUCACGCACGUCAGCCUCCGCGACCCCGUUGUGGCCGUCUUCGACGGGGCAGGCGGGAACGAGUACCGGAGGCGGCUGCUGCCGUCCUACAAAGCGCACCGGACUCGCGGCGCAGGCACUGGUGCCGAUUCCCGCGUGGUCGACGUGCUCCGCGAGUGCAAUGUUCCGAUUGUGCAAGUCGAUGGAUAUGAAGCAGACGAUGUAGUGGCUACCUUGACAGAGCAAGUAUUACAGAAAGGUUAUAGAGUUGUCAUUGCCUCACCUGACAAGGACUUCAAGCAGUUGAUAUCUGAAGAUGUUCAGUUAGUUAUGCCCAUUCCUGAGAUUGGCCGAUGGUCCUUCUAUACGCUGAGGCAUUAUGUUGCACAAUACAAGUGUGAUCCAACUGUAGAUUUGAGCCUCAGAUGCUUUAUGGGUGAUGAAGCAGAUGGUGUUCCGGGAAUCCAGCAUCUGGCUCCUGGUUUUGGUCGCAAGACUGCGGUGAAACUACUGAACAAACAUGGUUCAUUGGAAAACCUACUUAAUACAGCUGCAGUUAGAACUGUAGGCAAGGAGUAUGCCCAGGAUGUGUUGGUCAAACAUGCAGAUUACUUGCGAAAAAACUAUGAAGUUCUCAGUUUGAGGAGGGAUGUAAAUGUUCAGCUUGAUGACAGAUGGUUAUCCACAAGGGACACUUGUAAUGACACCAGUGUGUUAUCUGACUUCAUCACUAAAUUCAACUAAGGACAGAAGCUAAAUAGUGGGUAAAAAGCAAAUAUGACCAAUUUUGUUUCUUCCUCUUAAGCUCUAUUUACCAUCAGACCAUCAUCAGUGAAAAAAGGCUUUCAAUAGUUAGAUGAGGCAGUCUCUUGGCAAGGUUACUUGGUUCAGAACUGGAACUCGAACAGCAGCUGUGCCUAACCAACCCACGCUGUUUUUAUCUCGUUGAACGAGCAGGUGAUGCUGGGUACAAAACGCAGGGGUGUGGUCCAGGAGCAGUGUAGUACUACGUGCAGCGUCACAGUGAUGGGAGUGACCCAUCGUCUCAUCUCACCCGAAGACAGACACCGGACAUGCUAUCUCAGCUUUUUUUUUUGUCAUGCUAGUAGCAUAUCUUAAAGGAGCCAACACAGAUUGCAGAUCUGAUCUGAUGUAAUGUAAUCCUCGGAUGCUAUUACUCGCUGCUGCUAAUUGAAUACUGUGCUGGUCA